rnacentral:pre_miRNA from 14 species
CUGCAGGGCUUUUUUUCCUGUUAGGCUUCUGGCUAGAGUCCACUAAUUUUCUGGUACCUGAUCUGGCCAAAGCCUGACUAUAACCUGCUCCAG